GCUGGGCACAGUGUUGCACACCUGUAAUCCCACCAUCUUGGGAGGCUGAGACAGGAGGAUCUUGAGUUCAAAGCCAGCCUCAGCAAAAAAGUGAGGCACUAAACAACUCAGUGAGACCCUGUCUCUA
rnacentral:sRNA from 1 species